rnacentral:rRNA from 1 species
GACGAACGCUGGCGGUGUGCUUAACACAUGCAAGUCGAACGGCAAGGCCCUGCUUUUGUGGUCUUCCCGAGUGCCGAUCGCGUGCGUAACACGUGAGUAUCCUGCUCUUCACUUUCGUAUAACUUCAGGUAACUGGGGCUACUCUCGGAUCGCAUCUCCUGUUGCAUGGAGGGCGUUGGAUCUUCUCGGCUGUCGGGGAUGGACUCGCGGCUUAUCAGCUUGUUGGUGGGGUAGUGGCUUACCAAGGGUUUGACGGAUAGCCGGCCUGAGAGGGUGACCGGGGACAAGGGGACUGAGGGACGGACCAGACGGGUACGGGAGGCAGCAGUGGGGAAUAUGGCACAAUGGGAGGAAGCCGGAGGAAGCAGCGUCGCGGGCGGGAUGACGGCCUGCGGGGUGUAAACUGCUUUAGCCUGUGACGAAGCGGGAGUGACGGUAAUGAGUAAAGAAGCACCGGCUAACUACGUG